GGGUUGUGAGGUUAAGCGACUAAGCGUACACGGUGGAUGCCCUGGCAGUCAGAGGCGAUGAAGGACGUGCUAAUCUGCGAUAAGCGUCGGUGAGGUGAUAUGAACCGUUAUAACCGGCGAUUUCCGAAUGGGGAAACCCAGUGUGUUUCGACACACUAUCAUUAACUGAAUCCAUAGGUUAAUGAGGCGAACCGGGGGAACUGAAACAUCUAAGUACCCCGAGGAAAAGAAAUCAACCGAGAUUCCCCCAGUAGCGGCGAGCGAACGGGGAGGAGCCCAGAGCCUGAAUCAGUGUGUGUG
rnacentral:rRNA from 1 species